rnacentral:pre_miRNA from 1 species
CGUGUGAUUGCUGGAUAAUAUGGUAAAUGUAUGUUUAGUUUUCCAAGAAACUGCCAAACUGUUUUCCAGGGUGACUAUAAUAUCAUUUGACAUUCCCACCAGCAAU